GAAGAGGCCACACGUAGGCACUGUGGUCAGCAGCCUCAGCUCAGCUCCAAACUCACCGCCGGGACCCACUGCCAGUCAAGAUGCAACAAAUCACCCUCCAAAGCUGUGUCAUCUUUAUUCUAGGUGGAAGAGGGGACACAUUCUCCUAACCCAGCACAGAGUGAAGGCCUCCAAAGGGCUGCAAUGACCUGACCUCCUACCCGCAGGUCAGAGUCAGGCUCACUGGUUGUAGAUCAUUUGCUUCCUCUGAAAUCUGCAAAUAAAACAGCCAUGUAAGAUCUAUUGCCUCAUCAAAGACUGUGGAAACUGAUCCAGAAACCGUCUUUGCAGCCGAAACCAUGGCCCUGACUCUUCUCCCGUGACCACCAGCGCAUCCUCCAGGGCCCAGGGCCCAAGUUACUGACAGCCUGGCUGCAGGAGGGCCAUGGCUGUGCCUCACUCAGCCACCCCCGCUGGGUGGUGAGGUGGCUCUGGAUUUGGGGUGGUAGCUGUCAGCACAUCCCCCUGAGAAGACUUCUUUUAACCGAUGCUUUAGAAAGCCCAAGUUUUAUUUAGAGAAAAGUGCUUUUUAGGAUUACUGCUGUUUACAGGAUGACCAAACCAUUCCAGUUUGCCCAAGACUGAAGGGUUUCCUGGGAUAUGGGACUUUUAGUGCCGAAACCACAAACACCAAGCAAACUGGGACAGUCUACUCGAUAGGAGCAGGGGAGAGGAAAUCGCAAAGGCGCUACUAUUCCGUACAAGCUGCCCUCUAGCCGUGGGCUGUCUGGCCACCCCAGGAAAUUUAGGCAAUUAUUCCCUGUACUCUCCAGCGUGAUGAAAUCUGAGAUUUGGACCCAGGGAACCUAUCUGAGUUAUUUUGGUGAGCUUUGUCUUCUAAAUAGAAUAAAUGGUGUGUGAAGGCCUGCAGGAAAGUCGGUUAUUCACAUGGCGGUCCUCCAUUUCUUCUUUGAGGGUGCACCUCCCAAGGCGGCCCACUUUCUACAACCUGGCCAAUCACAUCAGAAGGCCACUUUGGAGCCUUGCCAACCCAAGUGUGUUGUAAGAUCGCAAGAGCUGGUCAACAGAUUUUUCUCCUGCCCAAGGCCAUCUAAGUGUCUUUAUAGGAUUCUGAGUCAGAGACCCAGCUAGGCUUAGUUGCUGGUAGUUUCUUUGCUAAGUCUGGAAAAGAUACACAGACUUUAAGGAGUGGAGCCAUUUGUUUUUGCCCAGAGAUGAUUUGUCCUACCGGGAAAGAAUGCAAAAAUCCUCGAGCACAAUCUCUUUCUUGUCAUGUAGAAGCCUCAAGACAAUGCCAGCCAGUUUGGAGCAUGUUGUUCUGUGGCCCAGGCUGCUGAGGAUGGAACAUGAGCACUAGAGAUGUUCUCACUUAACUACUGUGGCCAAAAUCCUGCUUUUCCAGCCUUCAGAACUGUAGGCAGCACAGAGCAGAGAGCAGGGCAUGAAGUCCCAAAGUGGGGGUGAUUGAGAAGCAAUUGUAGUAACCACUUGAUCCUAGGACAAGAGACUCCCAGCUCUAUGCAAUUCUUGUGAAGCUUAACCACUUAACUGAAAAACUAAAAAGUAAAACCAAGAUGUCACUGGAGCAGUGUUGGAAUGACAGAUUCAUUUUUCUGCAACUGGAAAUUCUAAGAAACUUAAACAUUUCACGGCUGUGUCCAGAUGUUUUGAGUAUUGUUUUGGGGGCUAAAAUGACUGAUAACCCAGUUUACUGUGCUCUACAAGGGAAGAAGAGUCUUUCAAAACCCGAAACUCCUUACUCUGAAAUUCAAAGAUCUGUGCCCUGAACAUCCUGCAGCCUGAUUUUACGGUACUCCACUCCCCAGGCCCUUCUAGGCCAGGCCAGUUGUCUUUGGGACAUGCCUGGCCCUGUCCUGCCCCCAAGUUUUCCUCGCCUCCCCAGCCUAGCAUGACUCUCCUCCCCCUGCCCAGUUCUUGCCCUCCUUUCCAGGUGCAGCUUAAGUACUGCUUCCUGCAAGAAGCCCUCCUGGAGGCUGGGACCUCUCCCUGCUCAGAACAUGAGGCUCAGCAGGGCAUCCUCAUUCAUUCUCUCUUUAACAGAUGAAGAGCCCCAUGUCCCAGGUGUUGUCAUUUAAGUAGUCACAUGUGCUCAUCAGUCCCCCUCACUAGACUGCAAGCUCCUUGAGGCCAAGUGCUUUGUCUUUCGUUUGCUGGAAAUAUCCAACCAGGUCUGGCCCAUAGAAGAAACUGAGUUGUGAUUGCUGAUAUCAUUUGAUCAAACAGAAACUCCCAUCACAGCCAGGUGACACAUGCAUCUACUGACUCUGUGACCCAGCAAUUCCACACCUAAGUAUUUACCCAAGAGAAAUGAACACCAAAAUGCCUGCACAAGAAUGCUCAUAAUAGCUUUAUUCACAAUAGCCAACAACGGGAAACAGUCCACAUGCCCAUAGAUAGGAAAACGGAGAAACAUACAAUGGCACACUUGUCAAUAAACAGGAGCAACUUACAGAUACACAAGAUACCACAGAUGAGUUUCAAGUGCAUAACACUGCGUGAAGCCUUGCACGAGAUAGUGUAUGUUGCAUGAUUUCAUUUAUAUGAAGUCUUGGAGUCAUCAAAACUCAUUAUGGUGAAAAAUAGAACAGUGCUUGCUUCUUGGGGGACGGGGUGGGG
rnacentral:lncRNA from 10 species